GGUGGCACAGGGGGCAGGCUGCCCCCUGCAGUACAGGGCUGUGGCUCCAGGCCCAGCACCGUGGGGCUUACAUGAGGACUGCCUGGUGUAGGCGGUGACGGGGGGCUCUCUGUGCCCCCAGGACAGCCUCCUGUCACACCGCCAGCGCCCCGCCCAGCAGUGCCACUUGCCCUGGCUGGUCCACCUGUGCCCUGCCGUGCCAUGCUUCCCACCUGGCGUGGCUCCAGGCCUAGCCCAUAGCUGACUGCGGCUGUCCCCAGGUCCUGGCAUACUUAGCAGUCUGUCUCCGUCCCCCUCCGUGCUGCCUGUCCUGCUGUGGUUAGCGUGUGACUUGUACAAUGUCAGUGUUGUGUGAUCCUGCGUGGUCCUUGUCUAACUCGGGCGGCUCUGCUGCUGAGCCCAGGUCUCCCACCCCAGGCCUUCCCUCCCUCUCCAGUGCAUCCGGGCUCUCCCGCUCAUUGCAAAGAGCUUGUUCUCAGGGAGCGGUUCUGAGAGGGGACGGGCGCAUGGCAUGCUGCUGGU